rnacentral:rRNA from 1 species
AUUCCAGCUCCAAUAGCGUAUAUUUUAGUUGUCGCAGUUAAAAAGCUCGUAGUUGAAUUUCUGGUGGGAAGAUGCGGACGGCCUCAUGGCUUGUUCCAAGUCUUCCGGCCAUCCUUGGGUGGAGCUCGUCUGGCAUUAAGUUGUCGGGCGGGGGAUGCCCAUCGUUUACUGUGAAAAAAUUAAAGUGUUCAAAGCAGACUUAUGUCGUUGAAUAUAUUAGCAUGGAAUAAUAAGAUAGGACAGCAGUGCUAUUUUGUUGGUUUGCGCACCGUUGUAAUGAUGAAUAGGGACAGUUGUGGGUAUUUAUAUUCACUUGUAAGAGGUGAAAUUCUUAGAUUAAGGGAAGAUAAACUACUGCGAAAGCAUUUACCAAGGAUGUUUUCAUCG